rnacentral:rRNA from 1 species
UGGGGAAUAUUGGACAAUGGGCGCAAGCCUGAUCCAGCCAUGCCGCGUGAGUGAUGAAGGCCCUAGGGUUGUAAAGCUCUUUCACCGGUGAAGAUAAUGACGGUAACCGGAGAAGAAGCCCCGGCUAACUUCGUGCCAGCAGCCGCGGUAAUACGAAGGGGGCUAGCGUUGUUCGGAUUUACUGGGCGUAAAGCGCACGUAGGCGGACUAUUAAGUCAGGGGUGAAAUCCCGGGGCUCAACCCCGGAACUGCCUUUGAUACUGGUAGUCUUGAGUUCGAGAGAGUUGAGUGGAAUUCCGAGUGUAGAGGUGAAAUUCGUAGAUAUUCGGAGGAACACCAGUGGCGAAGGCGGCUCACUGGCUCGAUACUGACGCUGAGGUGCGAAAGCGUGGGGAGCAAACAGG